UCCCUCAGAAUGGUUGGAAAUCAUUCGCAGAGUGUAAAGGCACAAGGGAGCUUGACUGCGAGACCUACAAGUCGAGCAGGGUCGAAAGACGGACUUAGUGAUCCGGUGGUUCCGCAUGGAAGGGCCAUCGCUCAACGGAUAAAAGCUACCCCGGGGAUAACAGGCUUAUCUCCCCCAAGAGUUCACAUCGACGGGGAGGUUUGGCACCUCGAUGUCGGCUCAUCGCAUCCUGGGGCUGUAGUCGGUCCCAAGGGUUGGGCUGUUCGCCCAUUAAAGCGGUACGCGAGCUGGGUUCAGAACGUCGUGAGACAGUUCGGUCCCUAUCCGUCGUGGGCGUAGGAAAUUUGAGAGGAGCUGUCCUUAGUACGAGAGGACCGGGAUGGACAUACCUCUGGUGUACCAGUUGUCGCGCCAGCGGCAUAGCUGGGUAGCUAUGUAUGGACGGGAUAAGUGCUGAAAGCAUCUAAGCAUGAAGCCCCCCUCAAGAUGAGAUUUCCCAACUUCGGUUAUAAGAUCCCUCAAAGAUGAUGAGGUUAAUAGGUUCGGGGUGUAAGCGCAGUAAUGUGUGUAGCUGACGAAUACUAAUCGAUCGAAGACUUAAUCAA
rnacentral:rRNA from 1 species